CCUACGGGUGGCAGCAGUGGGGAAUAUUGGACAAUGGGCGAAAGCCUGAUCCAGCCAUGCCGCGUGUGUGAAGAAGGCCUUCGGGUUGUAAAGCACUUUCAGUGGGGUAGAAAGCCUUGGGGCUAAUACCCUCGAGGAAGGACAUCACCCACAGAAGAAGCACCGGCUAACUCCGUGCCAGCAGCCGCGGUAAUACGGAGGGUGCGAGCGUUAAUCGGAAUUACUGGGCGUAAAGCGCGCGUAGGCGGUCUGAUAAGCCGGUUGUGAAAGCCCCGGGCUCAACCUGGGAACGGCAUCCGGAACUGUCAGGCUAGAGUGCAGGAGAGGAAGGUAGAAUUCCCGGUGUAGCGGUGAAAUGCGUAGAGAUCGGGAGGAAUACCAGUGGCGAAGGCGGCCUUCUGGACUGACACUGACGCUGAGGUGCGAAAGCGUGGGUAGCAAACAGGAUUAGAUACCCGUGUAGUC
rnacentral:rRNA from 1 species